UGCAAGUCGAACGAUGAAACUUAAAUGAUUUCUUCGGAAUGAACUUAAGUGGAUUAGUGGCGGACGGGUGAGUAACGCGUGAGUAACCUGCCUUACACAAGGGGAUAGCCGUUGGAAACGACGAAUAAUACCCUAUGAAACUAUCACUUCGCAUGAAGCGAUAGUCAAAGUGUUAGCGGUGUAAGAUGGACUUGCGUCUGAUUAGCUAGUUGGUGAGAAAAAAGCCCACCAAGGCAACGAUCAGUAGCCGGCUUGAGAGAGUGUACGGCCACAUUGGGACUGAGACACGGCCCAGACUCCUACGGGAGGCAGCAGUGGGGAAUUUUGCACAAUGGGGGAAACCCUGAUGCAGCGACGCCGCGUGAUUUAGAAGGCCUUCGGGUUGUAAAAAUCUUUUGUAUAGGAAGAAAAUGACAGUACUAUACGAAUAAGGUCCGGCUAAUUACGUGCCAGCAGCCGCGGUAAUACGUAAGGACCGAGCGUUGUCCGGAAUCAUUGGGCGUAAAGGGUACGUAGGCGGGUCAUUAAGUUAGAAGUCAAAGGCUAUAGCUCAACUAUAGUAAGCUUCUAAAACUGGCGACCUUGAGUAAUGGGAAGGGAAAGUGGAAUUCCUAGUAUAGCGGUGGAAUGCGCAGAUAUUAGGAGGAAUACCGGUGGCGAAGGCGACUUUCUGGCCAUUAACUGACGCUGAGGUACGAAAGCGUGGGUAGCAAACAGGAUUAGAUACCCUGGUAGUCCACGCCGUAAACGAUGAGUGUUAGGUGUCUGGAGUAAAUCUGGGUGCCGCAGCUAACGCAUCAAACACUCCGCCUGGGGA
rnacentral:rRNA from 1 species